GAUAAACGCUGGCGGCGUGCAUGAGACAUGCAAGUCGAACGGGUGACUCAGGGCUUGCCCUGAGUCGCUAGUGGCGGACGGCUGAGUAACGCGUAGGUGACCUACCCCGAAGUGGGGAAUAACUGCCCGAAAGGGUGGCUAAUACCGCAUGUGAUCGGUCAUUCAAUUGAUCGAUCAAAGCAGCAAUGCGCUUUGGGAGGGGCCUGCGUCCGAUUAGCUCGUUGGUGGGGUAAUGGCUCACCAAGGCGACGAUCGGUAGGUGGUCUGAGAGGACGAUCACCCAGACUGGGACUGAGACACGGCCCAGACUCCUACGGGAGGCAGCAGUCGGGAAUUUUGCUCAAUGGGGGAAACCCUGAAGCAGCAACGCCGCGUGAGGGAUGAAGGCCUUCGGGUUGUAAACCUCUUUUCUCAGGGACGAUUAUGACGGUACCUGAGGAAUAAGCCACGGCUAACUACGUGCCAGCCGCCGCAGUAAUAC
rnacentral:rRNA from 1 species